GCCCGUCGUAGCUCAGUGGUAGAGCGGCUGAUCUGUAAUCAGUGUGUCGCUGGUUCGAGCCUGGUCACGGGCCCCA
rnacentral:tRNA from 1 species